UGUUCACCACACAGCACAAUGACGUAAGCCCUUCCCCACCUACGUUCUUUUGUCUUUAUAGCCAGCUUGGGCAAUCAGCUAAGCUUUACACUUUUACACAUUACAAGGUUUGUGGUCACUCCACAUUCAAUCGUCAGAUGAGCAACAUUCCAUGUGGAUUUUCUUAACAUAUAUUUGGAUCACAUUCUAAGGCGAACAUUUAAUACAGAUACAGCAGCGUCCCCAGGUGUGAAAUAAACCUAGGCCCACACACCUGGGUUGUUGUUUUCACCUAUAAACAUCUCCAAUAAAACAUCGGCCAUUGAAGAACAACAAAAGUAGCGUCUGUUGUCUGUGCGUGACUGACGCAGUCCU